CAGGGCCAUUUUUAAUUAGUUUGGUGAUUCUAGGGAUUAAAUUCCCCGCCUUUGCACAUCCUGGACAAGUACUAAUAUUGUGUUCUAUUUCCAGGGUCUCACUAAUUAACCCAGGCUGUCAUUAACACAUUUUGUAGCCUAGACAUGGGCUUGGACCAAGAAGCCCAGCUCACAGUUCAAUUUUUAUUUAAUUUGUUCCAGGAUUUUGAACACAAACAAAUGAAAGGUCAUUUAAGGGUUGAUAGUCCUUGGGGAGGCACCUUUCCCAGACCAUACAACAGACUUAUUUUCACUUAGUUCUGAGGUGAAGACAGAUCAUGGGACUGAUAAAUUGGUAAGUAUAAAAGAUAGAAAAGGGGGGAAGAAAUAAGGUAGGUCUUAACAGGUCAAGUAACUGCAGCCAGCUUAGACACAAAGUUCAGAGUAGUGGUUGGAAUCAGGGUACCAUAGGUGUAACAUGCUCAUACAGUUUUGAUGAGAUAACCUUUCUGGACCAAGCAGGGCGUGGGAGGGUAGGGUGUGGCAUUUUCAGUAACACAUU
rnacentral:lncRNA from 1 species